GGGGCUGACAAAGCUUAGACGAAUAGUUAAAAGUAUGCAUGCGAGUCGAUUUGUACCGUAAGUACUUCUCAUAAAUGCAGAAAAAACUGCUAGUAAGCGCGUGGCUUUCAUGCCAGCUUACGCUUGGGCCUAAUUUAAGAUAGGUUCUGUUGCCGUUCGUGAGAUACCAUAGCUUUCGGUAAUAUCAUACUCAUGGUAUUAAGGUUAAUCUUUUGGCAGGGGUUAGCACGAAAAUUUAGCCAUGACUUUUGCGAAGUUUUGUUGAUUCCAGCUCCGUAAUAUUUGUCGAGAUAAAAGAAUGAACUAUGCUCGUAGAUUGCGUACCGGAGAUUAUCCGGACCCGGAGGCAGUAUCCGGCAGCUCCACCA
rnacentral:tmRNA from 1 species